GACGUAGGGCGCGAGCGUUGUCCGGAAUUAUUGGGCGUAAAGAGCUCGUAGGCGGUUUGUCGCGUCUGCCGUGAAAGUCCGGGGCUCAACUCCGGAUCUGCGGUGGAUACGGGCAGACUAGAGUCAGGUAGGGGAGAACGGAAUUCCUGGUGUAGCGGUGAAAUGCGCAGAUAUCAGGAGGAACACCGGUGGCGAAGGCGGUUCUCUGGGCCUGUACUGACGCUGAGGAACGAAAGCGUGGGGAGCGAACAGG
rnacentral:rRNA from 1 species